rnacentral:lncRNA from 1 species
AAAUCACCUUUAGCCUUUGCCUAGCCUUUCUUUCUCUGAGACUUUGGGUAUGGGUUCGGUGGUAGUGUUAGAGGAUACAUGAGAGCCUCUCUAUGGUCACCCUGGUCAUACUGCCUGCUUUCAGUACUGGUGGAGAGAUGAAGUGAUUCUGAGGCUGCCACGUAUUUGUUGAUGUACAGUCUGGAACAGAUAUUAUGCAAACCCUGCAACUCUACUGGUGCACGCUGCCUUGCAGGGAAUGAAGUUACGCCAUCAAAAUAUUCAGACAAAUAUUGACAACUAGCUGUGCAAACUGAGCGUUUCCUCUGUGAACUCACAGUACCUCUCUCUUCUAGGUACACGUAUGGUUUCCUGCUGAGGAAAACAUCAUAGAAAGAAGACCCCUUAUCCAGUAUGUGUUGUGAUAGGAAUUACACAGGUUUAGUGUUACUGCUCACUUCACCAAAAUAGCAAUUCAUCAAAGUGACUGGAAACAACAGGUUUCACAGCCACUUCAAGUUGGUGGGGAAUGACAGGUUGUAUCUCAGAUGCUUUAAUCUGAAUUUAGUGCAUAUGAGAAAUCUUGAGAUUCUUAUAUGAAGGUCCUGAAAGAGUUCUUCCUGCAGUGAAAUUUGGCUAUUAGAGUAUGCAAAAAGAUAUAAUGAAGAUAAAAAUGUAACAG